rnacentral:rRNA from 1 species
CGUGUAGGCGGUCGGGUAAGUGGAAUGUGAAAUGCCCCGGCUCACCCGGGGACCUGCAUCCCAAACUGCCCGGCUUGAGUAUGGGAGAGGAUGGAGGAAUUCCUGGUGUAGCGGUGAAAUGCGUAGAUAUCAGGAGGAACACCGGUGGCGAAGGCGUCCAUCUGGCCCAAUACUGACGCUGAGGCGCGAAAGCUAGGGGAGCGAACGGGAUUAGAUACCCCGGUAGUCCUAGCCGUAAACGGUGAUCACUAGGUGUUGGGGGCAUCGACCCCUCCAGUGCCGCAGCUAACGCACUAAGUGAUCCGCCUGGGGAGUACGGCCGCAAGGUUGAA